rnacentral:rRNA from 1 species
UUCGGCGGCCAUAGCGGUGGGGAAACACCUCUUCCCAUUCCGAACAGAGAAGUUAAGCCCGCCAGCGCCGAUGGUACUCGGAGGGAAACCUCCCGGGAGAGUAGGACGCCGCCGGUU